rnacentral:rRNA from 1 species
UACGGAGGGUGCGAGCGUUGUCCGGAAUCACUGGGCGUAAAGGGCGCGUAGGCGGCUCAUGAAGGCUGUGGUGAAAGUCCGGGGCUCAACCUCGGAUCGGCCGUGGCGACUCGUGGGCUGGAGCACUGUAGAGGCGGGUGGAAUUCCGGGUGUAGCGGUGGAAUGCGUAGAGAUCCGGAAGAACACCAGUGGCGAAGGCGGCCCGCUGGGCAGUGGCUGACGCUGAAGCGCGACAGCGUGGGGAGAAACAGG